AUGCACGUACAGAAGUUUGCUUUAGUGAGAAAUAUGCAUACUGUCUUCUAUAACUCAUUUCACUUCACGGUUUCUUCACUUGUUUGUUGUUUCCUAAUUAUCCUAAUUCCUAAAUGUUCUACUCAACUUCAGCGCCAUGCUCGGUCCAACUCCGUGGCUUCAGGGUGGCCGAGUUCAUGGCGACCAUCAGUUCGGAGACCUGCGUCACACUGCCCGUGUCGCUACCAUGGCCACCUGCAUCAUUGCGUGCUCCGUCAACAGCCUCUUGCACAAGGAAAAGCAACAGGAGUAGAGGUGUCUGAGAUGCUCUGUUCUAGCGAGGUGGCUGAUUAUGUUUGUCAGUUUGUAAUACUUUGGCCGUAG
rnacentral:rRNA from 1 species